CCUACGGGAGGCUGCAGUGGGGAAUAUUGGACAAUGGAGGGAACCCUGAUCCAGCGAAGCCGCGUGAGUGAAGAAGUAUCUAGGUAUGUAAAGCUCUAUCAGCAGGGCAGAAAGAAAUGACGGUACCUGACUAAGAAGCCCCGGCUAUCUAGGUGCCAGCAGACGCGGUAAUACGUAGGCGGCAGGCGUUAUCCGGAUUUAAUGGGGUUAAAGGGAGCGUAGACGGCGAGUCAAGUCUGAAGUGAAAGGUGGGGGCGCAACCCAUGGAUUGCAUUGGAAACUGUAUGGCGUGAGUGCAGGAGAGGUAAGUGGAAUUCGUGGUGUAGCGGUGAAAUGCUUAGAUAUUAGGAAGAACUCCAAUGGCGAAGGCAGCUUACUGGACUGUAACUGACGCUGAGGCUCGAAAGUGUGGGGAGCAAACAGGAUUAGAUACCCUGGUAGUC
rnacentral:rRNA from 1 species